rnacentral:lncRNA from 1 species
AAUCUGUCAUGAACGUCUGUUUUCACAGACCAAUCUGUUGUCUGGGGUAUCACCUGUUACUCCCCCUUUUUGUCACAAAUGUUGCCAAAGCCAACAACAUAAACAGAAAAAAAUGACAGACUUACAGACUUGGUUUUACUUCACAGUUUCAACCAUGUUAGUACCCACUUGAUCUUGCUUCACAGCUUUGAUCAAGUAAUCACCCACUUUUGC